GAUUAACGCUGGCGGCGUGCAUAACACAUGCAAGUCGAACGAUGAAACUUAACUGAUUUCUUCGGAAUGAUUUUAAGUGGAUUAGUGGCGGACGGGUGAGUAACGCGUGAGUAACCUGCCUUGGAGAAGGGGAUAGCCUUUGGAAACGAAGAAUAAUACCCUAUGAUAUGAUAAUAUCUCAUGAUAUUAUCAUCAAAGAUUUAUCGCUCUAAGAUGGACUUGCGUCUGAUUAGUUAGUUGGUGAGGUAACAGCUCACCAAGGCAGCGAUCAGUAGCCGGCUUGAGAGAGUGUACGGCCACAUUGGGACUGAGACACGGCCCAGACUCCGACGGGAGGCAGCAGUGGGGAAUUUUGCACAAUGGGGGAAACCCUGAUGCAGCGACGCCGCGUGAUUGAGAAGGCCUUCGGGUUGUAAAAAUCUUUUGUAUGGGAAGAAAAUGACAGUACCAUACGAAUAAGGACCGGCUAAUUACGUG
rnacentral:rRNA from 1 species